AUCCAGCUGACGAGUACCAAAUAGGACGAAGCUGUGGGCAUCCUGGAU
rnacentral:hammerhead_ribozyme from 1 species